GAAUUCGCCCUUAGAGUUUGAUCCUGGCUCAGGACGAACGCUGGCGGCGCGCCUAACACAUGCAAGUCGAACGGAGUCAAGAGGAGCUUGCUUUUCUUGACUUAGUGGCGAACGGGUGAGUAACGCGUGAGUAACCUGCCCUAGAGUGGGGGACAACAGUUGGAAACGACUGCUAAUACCGCAUAAGCCCACGGAUCCGCAUGGAUCUGGGGGAAAAGGAUUUAUUCGCUUUAGGAUGGACUCGCGUCCAAUUAGCUAGUUGGUGAGGUAACGGCCCACCAAGGCGACGAUCGGUAGCCGGACUGAGAGGCUGAACGGCCACAUUGGGACUGAGACACGGCCCAGACUCCUACGGGAGGCAGCAGUGGGGAAUAUUGCACAAUGGGGGAAACCCUGAUGCAGCGACGCCGCGUGGAGGAAGAAGGUCUUCGGAUUGUAAACUCCUGUUGUUGAGGAAGAUAAUGACGGUACUCAACAAGGAAGUGACGGCUAACUACGUGCCAGCAGCCGCGGUAAAACGUAGGUCACAAGCGUUGUCCGGAAUUACUGGGUGUAAAGGGAGCGCAGGCGGGAAGGCAAGUUGGAAGUGAAAUCCAUGGGCUCAACCCAUGAACUGCUUUCAAAACUGUUUUUCUUGAGUAGUGCAGAGGUAGGCGGAAUUCCCGGUGUAGCGGUGGAAUGCGUAGAUAUCGGGAGGAACACCAGUGGCGAAGGCGGCCUACUGGGCACCAACUGACGCUGAGGCUCGAAAGUGUGGGUAGCAAACAGGAUUAGAUACCCUGGUAGUCCACACUGUAAACGAUGAAUGCUAGGUGGAGGGGGUAUCGACCCCUUC
rnacentral:rRNA from 1 species